AGAGUUUGAUCCUGGCUCAGGAUGAACGCUGGCGGCGUGCCUAACACAUGCAAGUCGAACGAAGCAAUCGGAGGAAGUUUUCGGAUGGAAUCUGAUUGACUGAGUGGCGGACGGGUGAGUAACGCGUGGAUAACCUGCCUCACACUGGGGGAUAACAGUUAGAAAUGACUGCUAAUACCGCAUAAGCGCACGCUACCGCAUGGUAGCGUGUGAAAAACUCCGGUGGUGUGAGAUGGAUCCGCGUCUGAUUAGCCAGUUGGCGGGGUAACGGCCCACCAAAGCGACGAUCAGUAGCCGACCUGAGAGGGUGACCGGCCACAUUGGGACUGAGACACGGCCCAAACUCCUACGGGAGGCAGCAGUGGGGAAUAUUGCACAAUGGGCGAAAGCCUGAUGCAGCGACGCCGCGUGAGUGAAGAAGUAUUUCGGUAUGUAAAGCUCUAUCAGCAGGGAAGAAAAUGACGGUACCUGACUAAGAAGCCCCGGCUAACUACGUGCCAGCAGCCGCGGUAAUACGUAGGGGGCAAGCGUUAUCCGGAUUUACUGGGUGUAAAGGGAGCGUAGACGGCGAAGCAAGUCUGAAGUGAAAACCCAGGGCUCAACCCUGGGAGUGCUUUGGAAACUGUUUUGCUAGAGUGUCGGAGAGGUAAGUGGAAUUCCUAGUGUAGCGGUGAAAUGCGUAGAUAUUAGGAGGAACACCAGUGGCGAAGGCGGCUUUCUGGACGAUGACUGACGUUGAGGCUCGAAAGCGUGGGGAGCAAACAGGAUUAGAUACCCUGGUAGUCCACGCCGUAAACG
rnacentral:rRNA from 1 species